rnacentral:rRNA from 1 species
UACGUAGGCAGCAAGCGUUGUUCGGAAUUACUGGGCGUAAAGGGCGCGUAGGCGGUGUGUCAAGUCAGGCGUGAAAGCCCCGGGCUCAACCUGGGAACAGCGCUUGAAACUGGCACGCUCGAGUUCGGGAGAGGAUGGUGGAAUUCCCAGUGUAGAGGUGAAAUUCGUAGAUAUUGGGAAGAACACCGAUGGCGAAGGCAGCCAUCUGGACCGGCACUGACGCUGAGGCGCGAAAGCGUGGGGAGCAAACAGG